UAUCAUUAACGCAUCGCAUUAGACGGUCGUGGGUUCGAAGCGGCCGGAAGUAGAUUGUUACAUGUACAUUUGGAUGGUUUCUGAACUCUUCAAACAGUUCGUGUUUUUUUGUUUUAUAAGUAUUGAAGUAAUUUGGUGUUUUAUUGUUAUGUUGUUGCGGCCGUGAAAUUGUUCAUUUUUUCGACCGACUUCGAAAAAGAAGGGAUCUGAAUCACCGUAUACUAUCUAAAGGAAGGAAUCAAAAGUUUGUCGUACAUGCAUACGUUAUGGAGGCGAAUAAAUCAAGAGAUAUAUGUUAGAAUUUUUGCUACUAUAAUUUCUUCUACCCUUCAAGGAGCUUGGGGCGGCUCAUAUUGAUAGUAAUAAAUGAAAAAACGAAACUUGAAAAAGAAUAAUGAUAAGGAAAGAAGAAAAUAUGCCAUCAUAUACAAAGACGACUUAAUGCUACGUCAUUGCGGAUAGAAAAAAAUCAGCCAAUCUUGGCAUAGCACCUGGCAAGCUAGCCGUAAUGUGGACGCCUCUUGGCAGCUUUGCUUCGCGUAGCGUGGAAGCCGUUGCCAAUUGCGACCAGUUUGUCGACCCGCCCGGAGAUUUGGCACCCGAACGAGUUUCCACACCUUGUAUGUGGAUCUAUCUACGUAUAUGUAUGUUAAAUACAACACGCCAUGUUUUGGCAUUAUUUAAAGGCGAGAAACAGAAUUUGGUGAAGUAUUUAUAUUGCAAUAAGUUCAUUG